rnacentral:rRNA from 1 species
CCUACGGGCGGCAGCAGUGGGGAAUAUUGGACAAUGGGGGGAACCCUGAUCCAGCCAUGCCGCGUGUGUGAAGAAGGCCCUCGGGUUGUAAAGCACUUUCAGUGAGGAAGAACGCCUGGUGGUUAAUACCCAUCAGGAAAGACAUCACUCACAGAAGAAGCACCGGCUAACUCCGUGCCAGCAGCCGCGGUAAUACGGAGGGUGCGAGCGUUAAUCGGAAUUACUGGGCGUAAAGCGCGCGUAGGUGGCUUGAUAAGCCGGUUGUGAAAGCCCCGGGCUCAACCUGGGAACGGCAUCCGGAACUGUCAAGCUAGAGUGCAGGAGAGGAAGUUAGAAUUCCCGGUGUAGCGGGGAAAUGCGUAGUGCUCGGGAGGAAUACCAGUGGCGAAGGCGGCCUUCUGGACUGACACUGACACUGAGGUGCGAAAGCGUGGGUAGCAACAGGAUUAGAUACCCGUGUAGUC